UACGAAGGGGGCUAGCGUUGCUCGGAAUCACUGGGCGUAAGGGUGCGUAGGCGGGUCUUUUAAGUCAGGGGUGAAAUCCUGGAGCUCAACUCCAGAACUGCCUUUGAUACUGAAGAUCUUGAGUUCGGGAGAGGUGAGUGGAACUGCGAGUGUAGAGGUGAAAUUGUAGAUAUUCGCAAGAACACCAGUGGCGAAGGCGGCUCACUGGCCCGAUACUGACGCUGAGGCACGAAAGCGUGGGGAGCAAACAGGG
rnacentral:rRNA from 1 species